AUUGAACGCUGGCGGCAGGCCUAACACAUGCAAGUCGCACGAGUGGCGGACGGGUGAGUAAUGUCUGGGAAACUGCCUGCUAGAGGGGGCUAACUACUGGAAACGGUAGCUAAUACCCCAUCCCCUCGGAUCUGCCCAGAUGGGAUUGGCUAGUAGGUGGGGUAAAGGCUCACCUAGGCGACGCUCCCUAGCGGGUCUGAGAGGAUGACCAGCCACACUGGAAAGUGGAGACGGGCCAGACGCCUACGGGAGGCAGCAGGGGGGAAGAUUGCACAAUGGGCGCAAGCCUGAUGCAGCCAGGCCGCGUGUAUGAAGAAGGCCUUCGGGUUGUAAAGUACUUGCAGCGGGGAGGCGUUACCCGCAGAAGAAGCACCGGCUAGCUCCGUGCCAGCAGCCGCGGUAAUUC
rnacentral:rRNA from 1 species